GACGAACGCUGGCGGCGUGCUUAACACAUGCAAGUCGAACGGAAAGGCCCCUUUGGGGGUACUCGAGUGGCGAACGGGUGCGUAACACGUGAGUAACCUGCCCUUGACUUCGGGAUAACUUCAGGAAACUGGGGCUAAUACCGGAUAGGAAUCCUUGCUGCAUGGUGGGGGUUGGAAAGCUUCGGCGGUUUUGGAUGGACUCGCGGCUUAUCAGCUUGUUGGUGGGGUAGUGGCUUACCAAGGCUUUGACGGGUAGCCGGCCUGAGAGGGCGACCGGCCACAUUGGGACUGAGAUACGGCCCAGACUCCUACGGGAGGCAGCAGUGGGGAAUAUUGCACAAUGGGCGGGAGCCUGAUGCAGCAACGCCGCGUGCGGGAGGACGGCCUUCGGGUUGUAAACCGCUUUCAGCAGGGGCGAAGCUUGUGGUGACGGUACCUGCAGAAGAAGCACCGGCUAACUACGUG
rnacentral:rRNA from 1 species